AACAACGGAUCUCUUGGUUCUGGCAUCGAUGAAGAACGCAGCGAAAUGCGAUAAGUAAUGUGAAUUGCAGAAUUCAGUGAAUCAUCGAAUCUUUGAACGCACAUUGCGCCGGCAGUAAUCUGCCGGCAUGCCUGUCCGAGCGUCAUUU
rnacentral:rRNA from 2 species